rnacentral:rRNA from 1 species
UACGAAGGGGGCUAGCGUUACUCGGAAUUACUGGGCGUAAAGGGCGCGUAGGCGGCUUGAUAAGUCAGGCGUGAAAUUCCCGGGCUCAACCUGGGGACUGCGCUUGAGACUGCUGGGCUAGAGGAUGGAAGAGGGUCGUGGAAUUCCCAGUGUAGAGGUGAAAUUCGUAGAUAUUGGGAAGAACACCGGUGGCGAAGGCGGCGACCUGGUCCAUUACUGACGCUGAGGCGCGACAGCGUGGGGAGCAAACAGG